rnacentral:rRNA from 1 species
UGGGGAAUAUUGCACAAUGGGCGCAAGCCUGAUGCAGCCAUGCCGCGUGUGUGAAGAAGGCCUUCGGGUUGUAAAGCACUUUCAGCGGGGAGGAAGGCGAUAAGGUUAAUAACCUUGUCGAUUGACGUUACCCGCAGAAGAAGCACCGGCUAACUCCGUGCCAGCAGCCGCGGUAAUACGGAGGGUGCAAGCGUUAAUCGGAAUUACUGGGCGUAAAGUGCACGCAGGCGGUCUGUCAAGUCGGAUGUGAAAUCCCCGGGCUCAACCUGGGAACUGCAUUCGAAACUGGCAGGCUAGAGUCUUGUAGAGGGGGGUAGAAUUCCAGGUGUAGCGGUGAAAUGCGUAGAGAUCUGGAGGAAUACCGGUGGCGAAGGCGGCCCCCUGGACAAAGACUGACGCUCAGGUGCGAAAGCGUGGGGAGCAAACAGG